UACGGAGGGAGCUAGCGUUGUUCGGAAAUACUGGGCGUAAAGCGCACGUAGGCGGCGCAGCAAGUCAGGGGUGAAAUCCCGGGGCUCAACCCCGGAACUGCCUCUGAAACUGCAGUGCUAGAAUCUUGGAGGGGCGAGUGGAAUUCCGAGUGUAGAGGUGAAAUUCGUAGAUAUUCGGAAGAACACCAGUGGCGAAGGCGACUCGCUGGACAAGUAUUGACGCUGAGGUGCGAAAGCGUGGGGAGCAAACAGG
rnacentral:rRNA from 1 species